GCCGCUAUGGUGAAAUUGGUAGACACGCUGCUCUUAGGAAGCAAUGCUAAUGCAUCUCGGUUCGAGUCCGAGUGGCGGCA
rnacentral:tRNA from 1 species